AUGCAGAUUUGUAUGUUGUGGAGUUUGAAAAAAGGGGGUUUGCCACAUACUCACACGUUGGUGUGGCUGAAGGCAGAUACCAAGGAUCCGUCUCCUUCUUUUAUAGAUGGCCUUAUUUCUGCAGAGCUGCCGGGCCCUUUGGUUGAUCCUUUGGGUUAUGCUCUUGUUGAUAAAUUUAUGGUACAUGGACCUUGUGGGGCAUAUAAUGCUAAGUGCGCUUGCAUGAAGAACAAUAGUUGUUCCAAGCGCUUUCCUAAGCCUCUAAGCGAUGAUACAAUGAUUGAUCAUGUUGGAUAUACAGUUUAUCGUCGACGUGACACUGGAUUGUAUGUCCUCAGGCAGAAAGACACGCUCCGUUUGGGAAAUCAAUGGGUUGUUCCAUACAACUUGAAUUUGUUGAAGAGGUUCGACGCUCAUAUAAAUGUGGAGUGGUGUAAUAAGACAAAAUUAUUGAAAUAUUUAUUCAAAUAUCUCACGAAGGGUCAUGAUGUAGUUCGCAUGCGUUUUCAUGCUGAAGACAUGCCUCCUGGUGUGUUCACUGUGCCAUGUCCUACCGGUAGAAAUGAAAUCGACGACUAUAUCAAAUGCAGGGACCUGUCUGCCUGUGAGGCCUUUUGGAGGUUGUUUGCGUAUAGUAUCCAUGGUAGUCAGCCUUCUGUCGAGCGUCUGGUUGUUCACUUACCUAACAUGAAUAGGGUCAUAUUUGCGGAGACUGAUAGUUUAGGAAAUGUUCUGGAGGAUUCUUCGUCAACUAAGACUAUGCUUACUGAGUGGUUUGCUACCAACCGGAAGCAUGUGUCUGCUAGGUCUUUAACAUACCUUGAUUUUCCGAGUGAGUGGGUUUGGAAUAAAAGUUCUAAAGUGUGGACGAAGCGGAAGCGCCCAGACAGCGACGAUCCCAUUAUCACAUAUACAGGCACACAUCCUCCCGUCGGACGUAUGCAAGAACUUGCAAAAUCACUUUAUCAUUACAUCACAGGCACCAAUCCUGCAGGAGGAUAUACUAGGAUGAUCUAA
rnacentral:rRNA from 1 species